AUACGGGGGGGGCAAGCGUUGUCCGGAAUCAUUGGGCGUAAAGGGCGAGUAGGCGGGAUGGUAAGUUAGAGGUGAAAGUUCGGAGCUUAACUCCGAAUCUGCCUCUAAUACUGCCGUCCUUGAGUGUGAGAGAGGGAAGUGGAAUUCCCGGUGUAGCGGUGAAAUGCGUAGAUAUCGGGAAGAACACCAGUGGCGUAGGCGGCUUCCUGGCUCACAACUGACGCUGAAUCGCGAAAGCGUGGGGAGCAAACAGGAUUAGAAACCCUAGUAGUCC
rnacentral:rRNA from 1 species